AUUGAACGCUGGCGGCAGGCCUAACACAUGCAAGUCGAACGAGUGGCGGACGGGUGAGUAAUGUCUGGGAAACUGCCCGAUGGAGGGGGGUAACUACUGGAAACGGUAGCUAAUACCGCAUACCAUCGGAUGUGCCCAGAUGUGAUUAGCUAGUAGGUGGGGUAACGGCUCACCUAGGCGACGAUCCCUAGCUGGUCUGAGAGGAUGACCAGCCAAACGGGAACGGAGAAACGGUCCAGACUCCAACGGGAGGCAGCAGUGGGGAAUAGUGCACAAUGGGCGCAAGCCUGAUGCAGCCAUGCCGGGUGUAUGAAGAAGGCCUUCGGGUGGUAAAGUACUUUCAGCGAGGAGGCGUUACUCGAAGAAGAAGCAACGGCUAACUCCGUGCCAGCAGCCGCGGUAAUAC
rnacentral:rRNA from 1 species